AGACGUAGGGCGCAAGCGUUGUCCGGAUUUAUUGGGCGUAAAGAGCUCGUAGGCGGCCUGUCGCGUCAACCGUGAAAUCCCGCGGCUUAACUGUGGGCGUGCGGUUGAUACGGGUGGGCUGGAGUUCGGUAGGGGAGACUGGAAUUCCUGGUGUAGCGGUGAAAUGCGCAGAUAUCAGGAGGAACACCGGUGGCGAAGGCGGGUCUCUGGGCCGAUACUGACGCUGAGGAGCGAAAGCGUGGGGAGCGAACAGGAUUAGAUACCCUGGUAGUCCACGCUGUAAACGUUGGGCGCUAGGUGUGGGGGGCCUUCCCGGUUUCCUGUGCCGUAGCUAACGCAUUAAGCGCCCCGCCUGGGGAGUACGGCCGCAAGGCUAAA
rnacentral:rRNA from 1 species